CUGAUAGGUUUAUCAGGGGUUUCUCUUUUUACUUUUUCCUCAUUUUUUAAGAAGUGCCUUUUGCCUCCUGCCAUGAUUCUGAAGCCUCCCCAGCCAUAUGGAACUGUAAGUCCAAUUAAACCUCUUUUUGUUCCCAGUUUCAGGUAUGUCUUUAUCAGCAGUAUGAAAAUGGACUGAUACACAUGCCAUACCUAUAUUUCUGACUUACAAAAGCAUGAGCUAAUAAACAUGUGCUGUUUUAAACUGCUACGUUCAUGCUUCCUCUCAGUAUCUGAUGACAAUGAGAAAUGCAUUUGAAGAGAUAAACACUUCCCGAAAGACCAUCAUGAUAGGAGCUGAUACUCACAGAUGCCUUAGUGAAUGAUUACGUCUCAGGAUGCCAUAAGGAAUACACAGAAGGGUACAAUCUCAAGCCUUGUCUGUAUCGAGUGCUGGAGAAUAUGUGGACAAUAGGAACCAGCAUUCUCUUCUGUCAGGAGUAUGAACCAAAGUAGCCAAUCCAGAGUACAAUCUGACAUUGCUCAAAGAAAUUGAGAAUGCACAUUCCCAGGACCCAGCAAUUCACGUUUGAAAGAAGAUAUGAAUGCAGCACUGUUUAUAGUAAUGGGAAGUUGGAACAGCUUCCUGUAUUUCAGGGCAUGGCAGAUGGGCUUGGCCAUGAAAACUCCUUACCAGAGAACAUGAGUCCGUGGCUCUAAAAACAACUACAACCCAAGUACAGACACAAAGAGCCUAGUAUGAAGUCAGUUGCACAGACGCAGCCCUGGUAUACAGUGGACUCACAGCCUCUUGUUUCUAAUAAUUUCCCAGAACACCCGUGUGGUAAGCUUUUUGGUGGAACUGAUUAUGAUAAUCUGGAGUGAAGUUUAGAGUUUGAGUAAGAAAUGAAGUAGUGAAUGAGCAAUGGCAGCAGCAGCAAGUUCUGUGCUUCCCUCAGCUGAUUUCCAUUCAUGGGACCUGUUAUGUUAGGUAGACCCACUCUGGGGCUGCUUUCCAUCAUUCAUGCCCUGUCACGCAGGCUGAC
rnacentral:lncRNA from 10 species